GCCAUAGCUCAGGGGGGAAGAGCAUCUGCUUUGCAUGCAGAAAGCCCCGGGUUCAAUCCCCAACAGAUGCA